UUGAGCAAGAUGGAGAAGCAGGGCACGUGCAUUACUAACUCAUCUUCAAUAUUCCAAUAUUUCCACCUCUUAUACCUACUACUUCAAAGUAACAAGUGAUGAGUUAGAGUUAGUUGUUCAUGUGCCCAUCUUCCCCAUCAUGAUCCA
rnacentral:pre_miRNA from 1 species